CAGCAGCCGCGGGAAUACGUAGGGUCCGAGCGUUGUCCGGAAUUAUUGGGCGUAAAGGGCUCGUAGGCGGUUUGUCGCGUCGGGAGUGAAAACUCAGGGCUCAACCCUGAGCGUGCUUCCGAUACGGGCAGACUAGAGGUAUGCAGGGGAGAACGGAAUUCCUGGUGUAGCGGUGGAAUGCGCAGAUAUCAGGAGGGACACCGGUGGCGAAGGCGGUUCUCUGGGCAUUACCUGACGCUGAGGAGCGAAAGCAUGGGGAGCGAACAGGAUUAGAUACCCCGGUAGUCCCUGUCUCUUAUAC
rnacentral:rRNA from 1 species